AGAGUUUGAUCCUGGCUCAGGAUGAACGCUAGCUACAGGCUUAACACAUGCAAGUCGAGGGGAAACGACAUCGAAAGCUUGCUUUUGAUGGGCGUCGACCGGCGCACGGGUGAGUAACGCGUAUCCAACCUGCCCACCACUUGGGGAUAACCUUGCGAAAGUAAGACUAAUACCCAAUGAUAUCUCUAGAAGACAUCUGAAGGAGAUUAAAGAUUUAUCGGUGAUGGAUGGGGAUGCGUCUGAUUAGCUUGUUGGCGGGGUAACGGCCCACCAAGGCGACGAUCAGUAGGGGUUCUGAGAGGAAGGUCCCCCACAUUGGAACUGAGACACGGUCCAAACUCCUACGGGAGGCAGCAGUGAGGAAUAUUGGUCAAUGGGCGAGAGUCUGAACCAGCCAAGUAGCGUGCAGGAUGACGGCCCUAUGGGUUGUAAACUGCUUUUAUAAGGGAAUAAAGUGAGUCUCGUGAGACUUUUUGCAUGUACCUUAUGAAUAAGGACCGGCUAAUUCCGUGCCAGCAGCCGCGGUAAUACGGAAGGUCCGGGCGUUAUCCGGAUUUAUUGGGUUUAAAGGGAGCGUAGGCCGGAGAUUAAGCGUGUUGUGAAAUGUAGACGCUCAACGUCUGCACUGCAGCGCGAACUGGUUUCCUUGAGUACGCACAAAGUGGGCGGAAUUCGUGGUGUAGCGGUGAAAUGCUUAGAUAUCACGAAGAACUCCGAUUGCGAAGGCAGCUCACUGGAGCGCAACUGACGCUGAAGCUCGAAAGUGCGGGUAUCGAACAGGAUUAGAUACCCUGGUAGUCCGCACGGUAAACGAUGGAUGCCCGCUGUUGGUCUGAAUAGGUCAGCGGCCAAGCGAAAGCAUUAAGCAUCCCACCUGGGGAGUACGCCGGCAACGGUGAAACUC
rnacentral:rRNA from 1 species